GGAUAGGCAUGCAAGUCGAACGAACUUUUUUUGUUCAGAGAUGCGAUUAUAUCAAGUCAAAGAUUUUGAAAAGUUAGUGGCGAACGAGGUAGUAAUACAUAGGAACUUCCCCCAGAGUCGUGAAUAAUCCGUCGAAAGACGGACUAAUACACGAUGGUCUCGCAAGAGUAAAGUUUUAACGCUCUGGGAAAGGCCUGUGCGAUAUCAGCUAGUUGGUAGUGUAAUGGACUACCAAGGCUAUGACGUCUAGGGGAGCUGAGAGGCUGACCCCCACCGAUGGUACUGAGACACGGACCAUACACCUACGGGUGGCUGCAGUCGAGAAUCUUCCACAAUGGACGAAAGUCUGAUGGAGCGACGCCGCGUGAUUGAUGAAGUCCCUCUGGGACGUAAAGAUCUUUUAUGAGGGAAGAAGUUUAUUGACUGUACCUCAUGAAUAAGAGGCUCCUAAUCUCGUGCCAGCAGGAGCGGUAAU
rnacentral:rRNA from 1 species